rnacentral:rRNA from 1 species
GACGGGGGGGGCAAGUGUUCUUCGGAAUGACUGGGCGUAAAGGGCACGUAGGCGGUGAAUCGGGUUGAAAGUGAAAGUCGCCAAAAAGUGGCGGAAUGCUCUCGAAACCAAUUCACUUGAGUGAGACAGAGGAGAGUGGAAUUUCGUGUGUAGGGGUGAAAUCCGUAAAUAUACGGAAGGAACGCCAAAAGCGAAGGCAGCUACUCUGGGAUCCCUAGCCCGACGCUGGGGGGUGCGAAAAGCAUGGGGAGCGAACAG